rnacentral:rRNA from 1 species
CCUACGGGAGGCUGCAGUGAGGAAUAUUGGUCAAUGGGCGUAAGCCUGAACCAGCCAAGUCGCGUGAGGGAUGAAGGUUCUAUGGAUCGUAAACCUCUUUUAUAAGGGAAUAAAGUGUGGGACGUGUCCUGUUUUGUAUGUACCUUAUGAAUAAGGAUCGGCUAACUCCGUGCCAGCAGCCGCGGUAAUACGGAGGAUCCGAGCGUUAUCCGGAUGUAUUGGGUUUAAAGGGUGCGUAGGCGGCUGUUUAAGUCAGCGGUGAAAGUCUGUGGCUCAACCAUAGAAUUGCCGUUGAAACUGGGAGGCUUGAGUAUGUUUGAGGCAGGCGGAAUGCGUGGUGUAGCGGUGAAAUGCUUAGAUAUCACGCAGAACCCCGAUUGCGAAGGCAGCCUGCCAAGCCAUGACUGACGCUGAUGCACGAAAGCGUGGGGAUCAAACAGGAUUAGAUACCCCAGUAGUC